AUGACUGAAAAUGAAUGAAAAUGAAUGAAAAUGAAUGAAAAUGACUGAAAAUGACCCAAAAAACCCCAAAAAAAAUAAAAAGCCAAAAUUCAAACAAAAUGCCAAAAUAAAGUGCCAAAAUAAAGAUCCACAAUGACCUUAAAUGAGACACGCAGACAGACAGACAAGGAAAGGUCAGAUUAGAGUGAAAAAGGUCAAAUAGGCUUAAAAAAAAGGUCAAAAAGGCUUAGAAAAAGGUCACAUGAGUCUGAAAAAGGUCAGUUUAUGUGCCUGACCCCCAAGAACAAUUUAAAUUCGCUUAGAAAAGGUCAUGAGUCUAGAAAAGGUCAGAUUAGAGUGUGCGACCCCUGAAGCAAGGCCACAUGAGUGUUUGAUCCCAUAGAAAAGGUCAAAUGAGUAGAUAAAGGUCAUAAUAGCGUGUGUGACCCCAUAGUAAAGGUCAUAUCAGCCAAAAAAAGGUCAUAAUAGCGUGUCUGACCACAAGAAAAGGUCAUGUAAGACACAAAGGUCAUAAUAGCUUGCAUGACCUCCAAGGCAAGGUCAAAUGAGCGUGUAUGACCCCAUUGAAAAGGUCAAAUGAGGCAAAAAAGGUCAGAUUAGCAUGUCUGACCCCAUAGAAAAGGUCAAAUGAGCCUAUAAAGGUCAGAUUAGCAUGUCUGACCCCACAGAAAAGGUCAAAUCAGCCAAAAAAGGUCAGAAUAUCAUGUUUGACCUCUAAGAAAAGGUCAAAUCAGCCAAAAAAGUCAGAAUAUCAUGUUUGACCUCUAAGAAAAAGGUCAAAUGACCCUAUAAAGGUCAGAUUAGCGUGUCUGACCCCAUAGAAAAGGUCAAAUGAGCCUAUAAAGGUCAGAUUAGCGUGUUUGACCCCAUAGAAAAGGUCAAAUGAGGACAUAAAGGUCAGAUUAGCGUGUCUGACCCCAUAGAAAAGGUCAAAUGAGCCUAUAAACCUCAGAAUAUCAUGUUUGACCUCUAAGAAAAAGGUCAAAUGAGCCUUUAAAGGUCAGAUUAGCGUGUGUGAGCCAGCCAGUACACGUUUGACACACGUAAGGUUGGUUAUAAUGCAAUCUUUUGUAUAAGUUGUUAAAUACACAAAUAAAUAAAUAAAUCUAUAUAUAUAUA